AUUGAACGCUGGCGGCAGGCCUAACACAUGCAAGUCGAACGAGUGGCGGACGGGUGAGUAAUGUCUGGGAAACUGCCUGAUGGAGGGGGAUAAAUACUGGAAACGGUAGCUAAUACCGCAUACAAUAAGAUGUGCCCAGAUGGUAGUAGCUAGUUGGUGGUGUAACGGGUCACCAAGUCGACGAUCCCUAGCGGGUCUGAGAGGAUGACCAUCCACACUGGAACUGAGACACGGUCCAGACUCCUACGGGAGGCAGCAGUGGGGAAUAUUGCACAAUGGGCGCAAGCCUGAUGCAGCCAUGCCGCGUGGAUGAAGAAGGCCUUCGGGUUUUAAAGUACUUUCAGCGGGGAGGCGUUACCCGCAGAAGAAGCACCGGCUAACUCCGUGCCAGCAGCCGCGGUAAUUC
rnacentral:rRNA from 1 species